AGGUUUGGUAGUCGCUGGGACUAGGCGGAAGUAUAGAGGGUAUACUUCAUCAAGUAACUAUACCCGUAUAUAUUUCUGCUUAGCCCCUGACACCAUC
rnacentral:pre_miRNA from 13 species